rnacentral:piRNA from 1 species
UGUUCUGGUGUCUUCUGAUGUC